UUAUAAAAUAAGGUUUACGACAUAAUUUCGAGUAUUACUUUGGUCUUUUUAUGCACAUCUGGAAGUAUAAAAAUUUACGUUGUAGAAAUAUUUUUGUACCUUUUUUUGUGAAGUAAGAACGCAAUGGCUAAAAGAUUGAGUUUGACAGUUUUGCUUUCCAUAUCUCUGUUUCUUCUUUGGUCCGGACCUCGGGCAGUUGAAGGAGCGUGCAAGUCCAAUCCUGCUGGGAACUUAUAUUGUAAUGAGGUCUACUACAGAGACUUUGGGGCGGAUCUAGUUUUCAUGUGUGAGGACUAUCAAGCUAGAAAGGAAUGUUGUCUGUAUUGUAUCGGAUACAAAAAGUAGACAUUUACCUUUAAGCCCGGAUCCAACACUUCAGAAUUUGAUGAAUAUAGAACUUUUAUGAAAUUGCUUUUGCUACACUAGACCAUAUCUGUCUGUUAUUGUCCAUGCAUUUUUGUUUAUUUCUCUCAUAGAAGGGCACCAAUCAAAUUGAAUUUUAAAAAAAAUUUAAUUUAAAAGAAACAUGUAAAUAUGGAUGAAUAAAUUGACACAUCAAG